AGCCGUGUGGAUAGAGAGCUCACGCCCGCUGAAGAAGCCCGGCUGGGAGAGCUGAGCUGCUGCUGCUGCUGCUUCUGGAGCAGCGGGGAUGAGAGGACAGAAGACAGGAGGGGUACCACUGGGCGGGGCAACCUGUAAAGGAUGGACGCCAACAACCAAUCAUAUUGCACGGGGGCGGAGUUUGCCCGAACACAGCUGAACUCUUCUACUCCACCGGCUUCGGUUUCUGUGGUAGAAACCACAUAUCAGCAGAAGAAGCCUUGAAUGGAGGAAUCUCUGGAGAUUCGAGGGCGGAGGUGGUGAGGCUCAACAACAGAGAGUCAGCAACUCAUUACUGCAGAAAUGCAGCACCCAGAGCAGCCGAAUCAAGACAUCACACAGCUCCUCAGCAGCUCCAGCAAUCAAUUAUUUAUCACAUUGGACCUCAGCAUUAAGAGCAAAGUCUCUCUUCUCUCACGAGUAUGAAUUAUCUUUCGGGUUCCGGUAUGUAGAGAAUGCGUCUAUACAAUGCAGUCAUGAUAGUCAAAAAGAGCGUGAUAUCAUUUAAAAUAGUCUAUACCCACUUUUUAAGGUAUACAUACAGUGGUGCAUAAACGUUUGUGCAUAAAUAGGACCUAAAACAUCAGCAAAUUUCCUAUUAGUAAAUUUAAAAAAAAUUACAUUUAUUUAUUGAGGACAAUAAUCCCAUAUUACAUAUUUGUGAGUGGCAAACAUACAGCUCUGGAAAAAAAAAAGAGAUUGAAAACUUUUAGAAAAUAAUCAAGAGAAAGAUCAAUGAUCACAAGCCAUCAAACCAAACUGAACUGCUUGAAUGUUUGCACCAGGAGUAAAGCAGCAUAAAGUUAUCCAAAAGCAGUGUGUAAGACUGGUGGAGGAGAACA